rnacentral:pre_miRNA from 1 species
AAGUUGUGUGACAUGCCGUUUGGUGAUAAACUCUGAUAUUAUAUUUAGUAAUAAAGUGAUUUUGGGAAACGGGGUGUUACAGGUUU